CACGGUCGAGCCAAAGUUGGUUGUUUUAGCGAGGUCGAGUUGGAGCCUGACGAGCGCGGGCACGGCGGCCUUGUUCUGCUCGACGACGGCGGCGACGGACGCUGGCACUCCUCGUCGCCAUUGACCUGCAAGGAGGACCGUCGUGUUGGACGCUGUCAUCCCAAACGCUGCUGGUGCUCCAUCGCUUCUACGAGUUCCUCGUCACCUGCUCCUAGGUCGCCCCCGAAGUCGAGCUCCCCACGCUCGACCUGCAAGAUGUACUGUGGCCAAGAACUACUCUCUGCCGCGUGAGUAGAUUGGAAAGGCAAGGCGCAAGGAGCGAUUGGAAAGGCUGCUGCUGCUCCUGGACGAUGCAACUCCUGAUGCCACUACCUCUUGUCGAUUCGGGCAUGAGCACAUUCUUGGAGUGGAUCUGCAUUUCAAAUAGUUUACAAGUGGGAGUACAUGGAGUACUACAGAUUAAAUCGAGGAGAAGAUGGUCCCUGCUCCGUGAUGAUGCCGCCGUUACCUACGACUUCCUCAACCACCGCCACCAUGACUUCGUCGAACAUGGUGAGUACUGAGUACUCCUCCAAUGCUUGAGCAUGGUGGAGUUGUCUGGCUUCAUGGUGGCGUUGACGGUAGGCCAGGCAAGGUCAAUGGGUCAGUUACUGCUCUGGAGAUGGACCGGUGGAAGAUGGUGGCCGCAACCUCUGAGGGUGCAUUUGUCCGGUAUGGGACCAUGUCCCGGUAUGUGGCUGGGCUGGGGCAUCCGGCUCUAGAUGUUAGGGUUUGAUGCGAUAUAAGUUUGGUAUUAGGCCCGGAUAUUCGACACACCUUCAUCAAUGGGAUAGGAACAGCAACAGGUGUUGCAUAGAUGGUGGCUUCAGACUAACUGAUGUAUUACUAUGUAUCGUCUCUAUAAAUAAUUAAUAAAAUGGACGCCUGCAUCGUCCAGAUGCAGAGGCCAAGGGUCUAUCCUCCUUUUCAAACAAAAAUCUGU